AAAAACUGCUUGGAAAAUUCAAGACAUUCAGAAACCACCAAUGUAUAUUUUUGUUAUUUGCCUGUGAAGAAUUUCUUUUGUUGAAAGAUUGUGUCAUGAUUCCAGAGCAGGAAUGGAGGCUAUAAUGUUAACUUGGCCACAAAUUUGUGGCACCUCUGAGAAUUGUUUGCGUAAAUGCGCUGGCUCAAAGCCACAUCUACUGGUUCAAAACCUAUUCCAAUAUUGACAAGACAAUAAAGAACAGUGCAUGCCAAGUUAUUUAUCAAAGCUUGCCAGAGGAGUCACCAUGCCUGCUUUCCUUUUCUGUUGCAUAUUCAAUACCUAACACAGUGCAUUGUGUAUAAUUGGUGCUUAACUAUCUAUUGCAGGAAUGAAUGGAGUCUUCAGCAAGGGUUAUAUGCAUGCUUUUAAAGGUCUUUUGCACCGAAAGAGUGGACCAAAGGGCAAAGAUCUUAAUCAUGCAAGACUCGGACCCAAGACCUGGAACUCAGGAUUUCCAAUUAAACUUCCAAUUUAGUGUUCAUUCCCCAAACUGAGGCAGAACGGUGCCCUGUUUCAGCAGGAAGUAGUCAGAGCACUCAUCACCCCACUCCCUCAAAGAUUUGGUGAAAAUUAAAACAGGAGUGGGGACAGAAACGGAGCUCC